GAAUAUUGCACAAUGGGCGCAAGCCUGAUGCAGCGACGCCGCGUGGGUGAAGAAGGAUUUCGGUCUGUGAAGCCCUUUUCUGUGUGACGAGAAUGGACGGUAGCACAGGAAUAAGUCUCGGCUAACUACGUGCCAGCAGCCGCGGUAAAACGUAGGAGGCAAGCGUUAUCCGGAGUUACUGGGCGUAAAGGGCGUGCAGGUGGUUCAAUAAGUUGGUUAUGAAAGCUCCUGGCUAAACUGGGAGAGGUUGACCAAGACUGUUGAACUUGAGUGGAUGAGGGGUAAACGGAAUUCCGCGUGUAGUGGUGAAAUGCGUAGAGAUGCGGAGGAACACCAGUGGCGAAGGCGGUUUACUGGCAUCCAACUGACACUGAGACGCGAAAGCAUGGGUAGCGAACGGG
rnacentral:rRNA from 1 species